rnacentral:rRNA from 1 species
GUGGGGAAUAUUGGACAAUGGGCGAAAGCCUGAUCCAGCAACGCCGCGUGGAGGACGAAGGUCUUCGGAUCGUAAACUCCUGUCAGAUGGGACGAACGGACGUCGGUAAAUAAUCGACGUCUUUGACGGUACCGUCAGAGGAAGCCCCGGCUAACUCCGUGCCAGCAGCCGCGGUAAUACGGAGGGGGCGAGCGUUAUUCGGAAUUAUUGGGCGUAAAGGGCGCGUAGGUGGCCCUGUAAGUCAAAGGUGAAAUCCCUCGGCUCAACCGAGGAAUUGCCCUUGAAACUGCAGGGCUUGAGGCCGGGAGGGGGUAGCGGAAUUCCCAGUGUAGCGGUGAAAUGCGUAGAUACUGGGAGGAACACCGGUGGCGAAGGCGGCUACCUGGACCGGUUCUGACACUGAUGCGCGAAAGCGUGGGUAGCAAACAGGAUUAGAUACCCUGGUAGUCC